GAUGAAGAACGUAGCGAAAUGCGAUAAGUAAUGUGAAUUGCAGAAUUCAGUGAAUCAUCGAAUCUUUGAACGCUCAUUGCGUCCGCCAGCAUUCUGGCGGGCAUGCCUGUUCGAGCGUCAUUUCAACCCUCGAGCCCCCCCGGGGGCCUCGGUGUUGGGGGACGGCACACCAGCCGCCCCCGAAAUGCAGUGGCGACCCCGCCGCAGCCUCCCCUGCGUAGUAGCACACACCUCGCACCGGAGCGCGGAGGCGGUCACGCCGUAAAACGCCCAACUUUCUUAGAGUUGACCUCGGAUCAGGUAGGAAUACCCGCUGAACUUAAGCAUAUCAAUAAGCGGAGGA
rnacentral:misc_RNA from 1 species